CCCGCUGAACUUAAGCAUAUCAAUAAGCGGAGGAAAAGAAACUAACAAGGAUUCCCCUAGUAACGGCGAGUGAAGAGGGAAGAGCUCAAAUUUUGAAUCUGGCGUCUUUGGCGUCCGAAUUGUAAUCUAGAGAAGUGUUUUCCGUGGCGGACCGUGCAUAAGUCUCCUGGAAUGGAGCGUCAUGGAGGGUGAGAAUCCCGUAUAUGGCACGGACUCCCGUUGCUCUGUGAUACACUCUCGACGAGUCGAGUUGUUUGGGAAUGCAGCUCUAAACGGGUGGUAAAUGCCAUCUAAAGCUAAAUAUUGGCGAGAGACCGAUAGCGAACAAGUACCGUGAGGGAAAGAUGAAAAGCACUUUGGAAAGAGAGUGAAACAGUACGUGAAAUUGUUGAAAGGGAAACGCUUGAAGUCAGUCGCGCCGUUCGGGAUUCAGCCUUGCUUCUGCUCGGUUUACUUCCCGUUGGGUGGGUCAACAUCAGUUUUGGUCGGAGGAGAAAGACUUGGGGAAGGUGGCAGCAUUCGUGCUGUGUUAUAGCCCCUUGUUGUAUACUUCGACUGGGACUGAGGAUCGCAGCACGCCUUUGGCCGGGGUUCGCCCACGUACGUGCUUAGGAUGUUGGCAUAAUGGCUUUAAGCGACCCGUCUUGAAACACGG
rnacentral:rRNA from 1 species